rnacentral:rRNA from 1 species
UCUGGCUCAGGACGAACGCCGGCGGCGUGCCUAAUACAUGCAAGUCGAGCGGACGGAUGGGAGCUUGCUCCCAGACCGUCAGCGGCGGACGGGUGAGUAACACGUGGGCAACCUGCCUGUAAGACUGGGAUAACUCCGGGAAACCGGGGCUAAUACCGGAUAAUUCUUUUCCUCACAUGAGGAAAAGCUGAAAGAUGGCAUCUCGCUAUCACUUACAGAUGGGCCCGCGGCGCAUUAGCUAGUUGGUGAGGUAACGGCUCACCAAGGCCACGAUGCGUAGCCGACCUGAGAGGGUGAUCGGCCACACUGGGACUGAGACACGGCCCAGACUCCUACGGGAGGCAGCAGUAGGGAAUCUUCCGCAAUGGACGAAAGUCUGACGGAGCAACGCCGCGUGAGUGAUGAAGGUUUUCGGAUCGUAAAACUCUGUUGUCAGGGAAGAACAAGUACCGGAGUAACUGCCGUACCUGAC